CACAGUCCACAGCGACACGCUCUCAUUAAGGGUUUAUGUAUUAAACCAGAGUCCCCCCUGUCGGUCGUUGAUACCAUGCUCCUACCUGAUUAGCUGACUAGGUGAUUCAGAUGAGACGGUACAGGAAUGGAGAAACUAUGAGGGAUGACUGAGGGGUGCAAGGUUAAAUAACUAUGUGGGAUGUCUGAGGGGUGCAGAGACAGUCUGGGAUAUUAAAUAGAACACCCUGAUAGGUUGUUGUAUACAGUGGCUCAUGCAGGAGUCUGAUGGUAGCAGAGACAGAACACCCUGAUAGGUUGUUGUAUACAGUGGCUCAUGCAGGAGUCUGAUGGUAGCAGAGACAGUCUGGGAUAUUAAAUAGAACACCCUGAUAGGUUAUUGUAUACAGUGGCUCAUGCAGGAGUCUAAUGGUAGCAGAGACAGAACACCCUGAUAGGUUGUUGUAUACAGUGGCUCAUGCAGGAGUCUAAUGGUAGCAGAGACAGUCUGGGAUAUUAAACAGAACACCCUGAUAGGUUAUUGUAUACAGUGGCUCAUGCAGGAGUCUGAUGGUAGCAGAGACAGUCUGGGAUAUUAAACAGAACACCCUGAUAGGUUAUUGUAUACAGUGGCUCAUGCAGGAGUCUGAUGGUAGCAGAGACAGUCUGGGAUAUUAAACAGAACACCCUGAUAGGUUAUUGUAUACAGUGGCUCAUGCAGGAGUCUAAUGGUAGCAGAGACAGUCUGGGAUAUUAAAUAGAACACCCUGAUAGGUUGUUGUAUACAGUGGCUCAUGCAGGAGUCUGAUGGUAGCAGAGACAGUCUGGGAUAUUAAACAGAACACCCUGAUAGGUUAUUGUAUACAGUGGCUCAUGCAGGAGUCUGAUGGUAGCAGAGACAGAACACCCUGAUAGGUUGUUGUAUACAGUGGCUCAUGCAGGAGUCUGAUGGUAGCAGAGACAGAACACCCUGAUAGGUUAUUGUAUACAGUGGCUCAUGCAGGAGUCUGAUGGUAGCAGAGACAGAACACCCUGAUAGGUUGUUGUAUACAGUGGCUCAUGCAGGAGUCUGAUGGUAGCAGAGACAGAACACCCUGAUAGGUUAUUGUAUACAGUGGCUCAUUCAGGAGUCUGAUGGUAGCAGAGACAGAACACCCUGAUAGGUUAUUGUAUACAGUGGCUCAUUCAGGAGUCUGAUGGUAGCAGAGACAGAACACCCUGAUAGGUUAUUGUAUACAGUGGCUCAUGCAGGAGUCUAAUGGUAGCAGAGACAGAACACCCUGAUAGGUUCUUGUAUACAGUGGCUCAUUCAGGAGUCUGAUGGUAGCAGAGACAGUCUGGGAUAUUAAAUAGAACACCCUGAUAGGUUAUUGUAUACAGUGGCUCAUUCAGGAGUCUGAUGGUAGCAGAGACAGUCUGGGAUAUUAAAUAGAACACCCUGAUAGGUUAUUGUAUACAGUGGCUCAUUCAGGAGUCUGAUGGUAGCAGAGACAGAACACCCUGAUAGUUUGUUGUAUACAGUGGCUCAUGCAGGAGUCUAAUGGUAGCAGAGACAGAACACCCUGAUAGUUUGUUGUAUACAGUGGCUCAUUCAGGAGUCUGAUGGUAGCAGAGACAGAACACCCUGAUAGGUUAUUGUAUACAGUGGCUCAUUCAGGAGUCUGAUGGUAGCAGAGACAGAACACCCUGAUAGGUUAUUGUAUACAGUGGCUCAUUCAGGAGUCUGAUGGUAGCAGAGACAGAACACCCUGAUAGGUUGUUGUAUACAGUGGCUCAUGCAGAAGUCUAAUGGUAGCAGAGACAGAACACCCUGAUAGGUUGUUGUAUACAGUGGCUCAUGCAGGAGUCUGAUGGUAGCAGAGACAGUCUGGGAUAUUAAACAGAACACCCUGAUAGGUUAUUGUAUACAGUGGCUCAUGCAGGAGUCUGAUGGUAGCAGAGACAGUCUGGGAUAUUAAAUAGAACACCCUGAUAGGUUAUUGUAUACAGUGGCUCAUGCAGGAGUCUGAUGGUAGCAGAGACAGUCUGGGAUAUUAAAUAGAACACCCUGAUAGGUUGUUGUAUACAGUGGCUCAUGCAGGAGUCUGAUGGUAGCAGAGACAGAACACCCUGAUAGGUUAUUGUAUACAGUGGCUCAUGCAGGAGUCGGUCCUUACACUCUAGAGGCCUUUUUUCAAGUCCUUGCUUCCCCCUCUGUAUUCCUAGAACAAUAAGCAUUCAUCUAUUGUGAUCACAGCUACCCACCUCUGGCUUCUUCUCCUCUCUCUUCUUCUCCUCUCUCUUCUUCUCCUCUCUCUUCUCCUCCUCUCUCUUCUUCUCCUCUCUCUUCUCCUCCUCUCUCUUCUCCUCCUCUCUCUUCUCCUCUUCUUCUCAUCCUCUAUAAUGAUGAAGUGCUCUGACAGACAGAGCUGCUGUCUUGAUAUAUCAUUCAUCACUGUGGACUGUGCUGGAGUAUGACUGCUAGUAGUUCUCUGGCCUGGCAGACACAGUGAGGGAAGCAGGAGUAUGGCUGCUAGUAGUUCUCUGGCCUGGCAGACACACAGUGAGGGAAGCAGGAGUAUGGCUGCUAGUAGUUCUCUGGCCUGGCAGACACAGUGAGGGAAGCAGGAGUAUGGCUGCUAGUAGUUCUCUGUCCUGGCAGACAGUGAGGGAAGCAGGAGUAUGGCUGCUAGUAGUUCUCUGGCCUGGCAGACACACAGUGAGGGAAGCAGGAGUAUGGCUGCUAGUAGUUCUCUGGCCUGGCAGAGACACAGUGAGGGAAGCAGGAGUAUGGCUGCUAGUAGUUCUCUGGCCUGGCAGACACACAGUGAGGGAAGCAGGAGUAUGGCUGCUAGUAGUUCUCUGGCCUGGCAGACACACAGUGAGGGAAGCAGGAGUAUGGCUGCUAGUAGUUCUCUGGCCUGGCAGACACACAGUGAGGGAAGCAGGAGUAUGGCUGCUAGUAGUUCUCUGGCCUGGCAGACACAGUGAGGGAAGCAGGAGUAUGGCUGCUAGUAGUUCUCUGGCCUGGCAGACACACAGUGGGGGAAGCAGGAGUAUGGCUGCUAGUAGUUCUCUGGCCUGGCAGACACAUUGAGGUUGAAGCAGGAGUAUGGCUGCUAGUAGUUCUCUGGCCUGGCAGAGACACAGUGAGGGAAGCAGGAGUAUGGCUGCUAGUAGUUCUCUGGCCUGGCAGACACACAGUGAGGGAAGCAGGAGUAUGGCUGCUAGUAGUUCUCUGGCCUGGCAGACACAUUGAGAGAAGCAGGAGUAUGGCUGCUAGUAGUUCUCUGGCCUGGCAGACACACAGUGAGGGAAGCAGGAGUAUGGCUGCUAGUAGUUCUCUGGCCUGGCAGA